AGAAAGAUUCUUGCUAAUUCCAGGUUCAAUACUCUAACCACUGUACUACCUACUCAUCUCUUUGAAGACGUAAAAAGACAAAACUAUGAUUAUUAUUAUUUUUUUAAUUUUCAGGGAGAUCUUAGUCUAAUGGGAGAUAUGACAUGGAAACCAUUGUGGUUGUUUGUCCUUUAUUUUUGGAAGAAAGCUAGUGACAUCAUGGGGUGUUGUCUUGAGCAGCAUGUAAAUUGGAUUUCUACGAGGUAGAGUUGGACUGUCAUCAAACUCAGUUUCUCUUCCGGAGUCACCAAAGUUUAGUGACAAGACAAAAACCAAGAUGACUGGAAAUGUUAAAAGAUGCAGUAGAUGACCUUGACAUCUUCAAAGUUUGACCAAGCUCUAAGCCUGCUUCAGCCACCUUCAUAACCAUUGGAACAAAAUGUUUCCACCCCAGUAUUCUGCUAAAAGAAGUCUUCUCAUGCUUGGGAAAGAUGCCAGUCCAACUCAUUCAUGAGAUUGAGCCCCUCCAUUGCUCUCAGUUACCUGGUUUAGUCCUUCUGCCAAACUUUAACUUGGUGUGGCCACUGUGCAUGCUACGGUUUUUCGGAGACUCAGCUGAGAGUUGAAUGCCAGGGAACCCCCGAAAGCAGCAAAGCAUAUGGAGGAAGAGAGAUAUAAGGCAUAUGCUCAAAUUCACACAGUGUGAUAGAGAACUUGGUAAUGGAAUUGCGGCCCCCUGACCCCGAAGUGUUAUUAAAGCUACUAGACAAUAUUUCUCACCCUAAGAAGCCAAACUCUUCUUGGAAGAAAUGAAAACUGUUCUAUUAGGAAGCCAGAAAACUGGAUAAAAAGUGAAAUUCAGUCAACUGGCUAAGGAGGAGAUGGCAUAAUUGGUAUGGGAUAUAUGAAAAUCCAGGACAAAUAUGGAAUUUUGAAACUACUAAAGAAAAAAAAAUAGGUUUUCAAAAAAGAAGAAAAGCUCAACAAGUUCAGGUUGAAGACUUCAAGUAUGAGAGCCAGUAUGUGUCUGAAGAGCAAUGUGAACCUUUGACUUCCUGAGGCAACUCUCUAGCCCUCACAUCUCAGGACCCAUUUGGAUUGAAGGAGAUUCUAUUCCUAUUCUAUUCUGACCUGAAAAGAAACUCCAUACAGAACCUCCUUCCAGUGAUGCAAGUCCACAAUAAGAUUACUUGGGUCAACUGAGAAGUCAGAUGACUUGCCUAUUGUUACACAGAAUGUGACCAUCUUACGUGCAAGGAUUGUUUCAUUUUGUCUUUGUGAACCAGUACUACCUCUAACAUG